rnacentral:lncRNA from 1 species
GUGGUAAAAGUGGAAUACAAAAUCAGAAGCGACUUACCACCAUCUUACAAGUGUUCUUACCAAAGCCAAAUAGGAGCAAAACCAAAUUGGCAAAGUAACCUGUUGUGGAGUGUGGGUAAACAGUUGCAAGAUGGAUAGGCACAAUUUAAGUAGCAAGGAAUAGCAAUAUUCAAAUGUAGAGUUAGCUAAGUUUAAUAAGUAUCCAAAGGACAAAUCACAAUUGUUGGCUAAGACAUGUCUAGACGUAGCGCAACAAGGUGAAACAAAGUAUGACGGAAGGAACUCAGCGAACAAGCAAUAGAGCAGAUUUUUCCUUUAUCCUGAUUUUUUCUGGAUUUUCUCAAAAGGCACUAGUAUGAAUCAAGAUUUUUUAUUUUUUCACUAUUUUUUUAUAUUUUUUUCUGAACAAGGAUCACAAAAGAUGUAACCACAAAAAUUGGCAACUACAACUGAGGUCAGAUGUGGUCUACAGAAAUUCAGCAAGUUCUCUGAAAAGCGUGCAAAACCCUUGUCAAUUUUUUUCUUUAUUUUCAUGAAUUUUUUUGGCAAUUUUGAUGAGAGCAAAUAGGGCUUCGCUGAGUUUGGGUCAGGUCCAAAUGGUGUCAAGAAACUGCUAUAAAAAUUUCAGAUUUUUUGAUAAAAGAACGAAAAGGUAUGCCUGUUUUACCAAAGGUAUCUCAAGUUAUGUUUUUCGAACGGCACAACACGGCGUCGGCGGCGGCGGCGGCAGUUAGGGCAAAGCAUCCCUAAACUCCAACACCGAUCCCAGUAUGAAUCAUCCCUGUGACUAACAGCAGUAGGUAUUCGCCUGAUGAUGUAAGGAGGGUUGCGAAGCUGGCAAAAGAACAACGGCUGGCGACCUAUCUAGGGUUAGCGCGGCAGUGAGAGAUCACACAAGGCGGAUAGCGGAGGCAAAUCGAGUAAUGUGGUGGCUUCGACUUGUUGUUUGGAAACAGUGGAUAGGAUAGCGGCGAAAACUAAGAACAACAACAGUGCAAAUGAACUACGACGACGAACACAAUCAAAACCAGCAACUAGACUCAACCACGGACACAAACUCAACAAAGCAAAUCUGAAAAUGAAAUUGCAAGGCACAAUGGGUGAUAGGACAGCAGAAAAUUAAACUAUUUUUUGGGCUUUUUGUGGACUGUAGGUAAUGAACAAAUAUGAAUCUAGGGCAAACGAGAUUAUACCUCACGUUAAACCUAAGAUAUCUUAUACCAAUUGAUGAGGUUCAGGCCCGAUCUUCCGAGAGGUAAUUGGUACAUUUAUUUGUGGAGAACUCGACAUUGGCGAUCCAGCUUCAAAUCAGCACGAUUCGAACCCAGCAACCAUUACACCACUGCUCUGUUGGUUAUCAACCAAGCACAACUUGAUUGACCUUACCAAGAAGGCUUUUCCUGCAAGCGAAUCGAAGAACACAAUCAAGAAAGUAUAAACACGCAAUCUAAAAUUGCAGAUAUGAAUGACGUGAAUAUUCAAAUGAGGGUUCAAGAACUCGGUUCCAAAGGACUAGUGGAGGAGAUCAAGAAUGGGGGCUCUAGAUCAGAGUUGGUGUAGAUUGUGGGAUCAUGUUUAUUUCUCCAACUGUCGUUCGUUCCAUGGCGAGUUGGUUAAAAGAGUGUGGUUUCAUUCUUCUGCUCUCUUGUUCUCAAUCCCCAUCGAUUCAGUA